CCCGGCGCGGCGCCGCCUGUGCCUGCCCGAGGAGCCGCUUUCCUGCCGGGAGCCGCGCUCCGCUGGGAGCGCGGGUUUUCAUUUUCCAGAGUUCCUUGCUGUGGUGGUUUUGAGGAACUUAGGGGAUCGUUUUCUUUUGUUCGUAGUUGGUGUAUGAGAAAGGUCCUGGUGUACCUGUUGUUGUUAUGGUUCUUGGUUCAUGUGCUGAUGACAAGGGGUUUUUUGGAUUGAGUUUGUUGUUGGAUUUUUUUUUUUUGUGGGAUAUGUUGGGUUUUUUAUUUGUUUUUAUAUUAUUAAAAUACAGUAGUAGUUACCUUCUUAAAGGAUAUUUUUUUUUAAGGUUUACUGUGGUUUUUAUGGGUCGUAGCAUGAAGUACAGGGUUGGUUUUUAAUUAGGCUGUGGUGGUUUUUAUUAGCGUGAGUAUGUAGUGGUUGUUUUGGUGGGUUUGGGGUAGUGUCCUGUAGUCAAUUAGUAAGUUGGUUUUUUUUUGUUUUUUUUUUAAUAUUGAUAAUUGUGUUCUUUUUAAUUCUCUUAUAGAGGUUUUAUUCAUUUGGUUUGUUUAAUUGUCGUGAAUGUUUUAUUGUUACCGGUAAUUUGGGAGUUAUUGUUUAUGGUUGCAUUUAUCUUUUGGUGACGUGUUUAUUUCUAGGUGGUAUUUGUAUUUUGAUGGUUUGAGGCAUUAUGGCUUUAUUGAAUUAGGAAUAAUUUUUGUUGUUGUUAAUUUAAGUUUAUUUAUUUGGGUUUUGUUUUAGUUUGAUGUAUUUGUUGGUUGCUUUUUAUUAGUGGGGUUUUUUUUAGGAACAUGUGUAUUUAUACGGUGGGUUUUUUUAGGUAGUUUUUUAUUUGGGUACUUAUCUUUUUCUUGUCUAGUGAUUUAGAAUAUUUUAAUAUCGUUUAUUACUUUAGUUUUUAACAUUAAAUUAGACUACUGGUUACUCUUCGAGUUAGUGUAGGGGUGUGGUUUUCAUUUUUAGUAGCUUUCAGGGUCUGUUGUACAGUUUGAAGUUAGUAAGCUGGUUGGACUUCUUUUUCUAGUGGGUUUUGUAAUUCGUUUUCUAUGUAUGUUUUGGUUUCUAUGGGUUGUUUUUUAUUUUUGUUUAAUUUUUGUGAUGUGUCUCACGAAGAACUGUUAGUGAAGAGUGUAGCGUGGGUUUAUUUUUUGCUGGUAGUUGGUUCUAUGGUGGUGUAUUUUUAGUUUGUGUUGUUUGGUUUUGGGUUUCUUUUGUUAGAGAUUAAAGUUUUUAUUCUGGGGUUAAUUUGUUAUUAUUUUUAAGGAUUUAGGGCGAUUGAGAUUUUUGAUAUGGAUGUCCUGUAUGAUAAGAGUUAAAUUAUUUGCUUUAUGUGGAAUUGAUGGCGGGGUAGGAGACAUUUUUGUAUAGAACGUGUAUUUUAAUCAUAGUAUUAAAAUAAUACCGUGGUAAGAGGGGCUGUGUUUUAUUGUUUGUUUUCGAGGUGGUUUGGCAUUUUCUUAUAGGUUGGCGGUUUUUUUUGUUGGCUCGUGGAGCCAUUCUGACUUUUUUUGAUGAAAUUGGUGGGAAUUUGAUGUUUCUUUUGUUAUUUUAUUUUUAGGAAUUGGAUCUUUUCAGUAGGCUUUUUCAUUUUGCUUUUUUUUUUGUUUUGUGGUGUAAUAGUAUUUUAGAAGAAUUUGGAUGAUUUUUAAAAAUAUUUUUGUUAUACUUUUCAUCUAAUAUUGUUAGAUUAUUACAGAUGUUUUGGAGUUUUCUUUUUAAGUUUCAUUUGGAUGAAUUUAUGCUAGAUGGUAGGACUGUGUUUUUAUUUUUGGGGUAGUUGGUUGUAGGUAUAUGUUUUUCAAGUGAAGGUAAAUCGAGGUUUGUAUUCGGUUGUUAGAGGAAUGGAGAAAAAUGUAUUGGUAAUGUUAACAGUGGUGUGUUAUUUUGUGGUUUUUGAUUUUAGUUUGUAUUGGAGUUUUAAUAAGUUUGGUACAGUAGUGUUUAAUGGUGGAGUUAUUUAAGGUAUGAUAGUUUAUAGUUAAUUCUUAUUUGUUUUAGAUUUGUGUGUAGGUUAGAGGAGGUUGUUGAAGGGUGAGUGGGUUUUGUAGAUGAAUUUUAAUGUUUCAGUUUAUAGAGCAUUUUUUGGAUGGGAGUUACAGUAUUUUGAGUUAUUUGGUGUCGCUGCUGAUGUAUUGUUGAGGUGGUAAGGAGUAUUUGUUGGGUUUUUUUAAAGAAGGUUUAUUGUUGAUAGUUUCAGAUAGUUGUGGUGGGUUGCUUAAUUGUUUUAUGUUUUUUGGCUUUUUAGUAGUUAUUUUAAAUAUGUUUGAGUUUUUGGGGUUUAUUGAAAUACUUGAUUUUGAGGAAGAUCCUGUUUAGAAUGUAUGAUUUUUUUUUGGCUUAAAAUAAAAAUUUUAUUUUUUUUUUUCGUGAGGUUUAUUUUUUUUUCUUACUGCUAUAUUUUGUGAUAUUUGUGUUAGGUUAGUAAUAGGAAUAGCUUUACUUUUAUAUGUUGAAAUGAGGGUAGUGUGUACUGCGUUCUGGUGUUCAUAAAGGUUUAAUAUUUUUGUGAUUCUGAUGUGUUAGGUUAAUGAAUUUAUAAAGUUUACAAGACUUUUUUUUUGUUUUUAUUUCGAUACAGGCAGGGUUUUCUUAGUUUUAAGGAUUUGUUUGGCAUAAUUAAGAGGCCUUAUUGAGGGGAUAGAACAGGGUGUCUCUGUUAAUCUAUUUGGCAAUUUGGAUAUUGGGUAAAUAAAGUUAAUAUUUUGGUAUUAUUUUUGGGUUUUGUUUAUUUAUUUAUGAAUUUGUGUGCCUACAGCUGUAGUGUCUCUGCUGCAACUCCAAGUAUCCAUUCAUGUUUGUGUGCAUUAGGCAGUGCAGUCGUGUAACAACGAGCCCCCUCUGUAACCAGCCCACAGACCCUCUCCUUCGACCUCGUGGGAAUUCGGGAAGCGGCACACGGCUCUGCAAGGAAGCCUUGAUCUUUGUCACUGGAAGGUGUCACACAGGGAGCCUUCAGGAGCGGCUGAGGAGUUGCUCCAGGCAGACCCUGCCAGGAGGGCGAGGGCGAAGCGUGCGGCCCGAGGAGCCCGGCGUUCUUAGGAGAAUGGCGAGUAGCAGAAUUGCUGGUUUGUGGCUGCUGAGCAGCUAAGAUCAUGCAGUGAUGUUUGCUGUUCUUGAUUGUAGCUGAGCAAGGGACCACAGCCUGCUGACCAUAAGACAUUCCCAGCUGUCGAGGCAGCCUCCAUUUGCACAGGAUGUGGAUUCUCAUCCCCGGAUGCCUGAGAGAUAAGUCGAGGGCUAAGGCCCACAGAGGGGACGAAGGCAAUGUGCUGGGAGGUCCUAUUGAAUCAGCUCUGGGGGCGGGCAUGUGCAAGAAGGGUCCCCUUAGGCCACCUAAAGGGAAAAUGUCUAUUUUGAUCGCGGUGCUGAAGCAUGCAGGGCAGACCAGUUCCAGUGUGUGUCCUGUAACUUGUCUCUGGUGCACUCUGUGUUGUUUGGGUCUCUCAGUCCUUGCACACAUUCUUCUCAUUGAAAGCUCUCUCUCCCUGUCCUGUCCCCUCGUUUGUCACGUCCUGUCCUGUGUCACCGGUAUCUGCACUCAUUUGUCCAGGAGCUGCUCUGCCCUGCUGCAUAGCCUGUAAUAGCACAAAUCCCCGGGACUUGAAAUUUGUAAUGCAGGGUGUAGUUGGGAUCUAGAUUCUAUUGGGAGAUUGACAUAAUAUUUUUGGUGCUGUUAAGUUGUCCUGCAGCCGUUUGACACUAGUUCUAACUUCCUUUCAGAUGCAGACAGUUCAAAUCUGUGGUAGAGGGCACCAGUGCUGGGUAAAGGUGUUAGCAUAAGCAGGUCAGUCAUUGUUUGCAUUUGCAGGAGAAGCCUAAAUGGUGACUGUGUUACAGCAGUGUUCUUUGCCUUUAUUUUUAGGAAGUCCAGGCAGAUAGCAGCAGUCAAGGCCCAUUGUGCUAGGUGAGCAGUGGAGAGAAGCUGUUGUUCUUGCUCAGGUUUCAGUUUUUGGAGCAACUGUAAGCAUCCAUUCUUGUUUGUGUGCUUUAGGAAAUCCCUUCGGAGUAUGACAAGCCCCUGUCACCAGCUGGCUGAUGGACUGAUUUUCCUGUGCUUUAUGAGACCUCUGGAAGUAUUGCAGGGCUCUGUGAUGAAGCCUAAAAUUUUUGUUUUUCAGGGUCCCAUUCUGGUAGCCCGGAGGAAUGGACAAGGAGUUGCGGUGAAUCAGGGAGGUAGGGAGGAAGUGCAAGGGUACACUCAAGUUUGUGCAAUGCCACGUCACCCCCUCUCCACUUAACCGUGCUGUACCCAUAGGUGAUGCUGUCGGCCUCCAAGCACGCCUGAAGUGUGUGGCCUGGGCACUCUGAGGAGAAUGACCAAGAGCGAACGGCCUGGGGACAACUGGAACUUCCCAGACAGGCUGGAGGCCUCACCCGAUGGGGAUUUUCAUCCAAGGAUAUGUGCAAGAUAAGUCAAGGGCUACAACCCAGAGAGGGGAUGGAAGAGAGGUGCCAGGGACUCCCCAGGAAGGGUUUUUGAGUCAGAUUUGGAGAUGGGGAUGUGCAAGAAGCGUCUCCUUAGGCCACCUGAAGGGAAAAUGUCUGUUUUGAUCUCGGUGCUGAGGUGUGCUGGGCAGAGCAGUUCCGGUGUGUGUCCUGGCACUUGUCUCUGGUGCACUCUGUGUUGUUUGGGUCUCUCGGUCCUUUCUUCUCAUCAAAAGCUCUCUCUCCCUCUCCUGUCCCCUCGUUUGUCACGUCCUGUCCCGUGUCACGGGUGUCCUGUCCUGUCUCCCGGCGGUGCUCUGCCCUGCUGCCUAGCCCGUAAUAGCACAAGUCCUGGGGACUUGAAAUGGGUAAUGCAGGGUGUAUUUGAGCUCUAGAUUGUAUUAGGAGAUUGACGUAAGAUGUUUGGUGCUGUUAAGUUGUCUUGCAGCCUUUUAACACUAGUCCUAACUUCCUUUCAGAUGCUGACAGUUCAAAUCUGUGGCAGCGGAGUCCCAAUCCUGGGUGAGGAACUUCCGUCAGCUGGUCAGUCAUUGUUUGCGUUUGCAGGGGAAGCCUAAAUGGUGACUGUGUUACAGCAGUGUUCUUUGCCUUUAUUUUUAGGAGGUCCGGGCAGAUAGCAGAAGUCAAGGUCCAGUGUACCAGGUGAGCAGAGGUCAGAAGCAGUUGUUCUUGCUCAGGUUUCAGUUUUUAUUGCAGCUGUAAGCAUCCUUUCUCCUUUUUGUGCUUUAGGGAAUCGACCUGGAGUACACAUACCUCUGUCACCAACUGGCUGAAGGACCCGGUUUCAUGCGCUUGUGAUCUCGGUGGAAGUAUUCCAGGACCCUGUGAUGAAACCUUCCAAUUUUGCAUGUCAAGGUCCCAUCCUGGUAGCCCAGAGGAAUGGCCGAGGAGUUGCAGUGAGUCGGGGGGGUAGGGAGGAGGAGGAGUGGGAGUCCACUCAUGUUUGAGCAAUGCUAUGUCGCCUUGUCUCCACUGAACUUAGGUGUACCCUGCAAUGACGGCGUCAGAAUCCAAGCACGCCCGAAGUGUGCUGGCCGGAGAACCUGGGCAUUCUGAGGAGAAUGACCAAGAGAGAACGGCCUGGGGACAACUGGAACUCCCCAGACAGGCUGGAGGCCUCACCCGAUGGGGAUUUGCAUCCCAGGAUAUGUGCAAGAUAAGUCCAGGGCUACAACCCAGAGAGGGGAUGGAAGAGAGGUGCCAGGGACUCCCCAGGAAGGGUUUUUGAGUCAGAUUUGGAGAUGGGGAUGUGCAAGAAGCGUCUCCUUAGGCCACCUGAAGGGAAAAUGUCUGUUUUGAUCUCGGUGCUGAGGUGUGCUGGGCAGAGCAGUUCCGGUGUGUGUCCUGGCACUUGUCUCUGGUGCACUCUGUGUUGUUUGGGUCUCUCGGUCCUUUCUUCUCAU